rnacentral:rRNA from 1 species
AGUGAACGCUGGCGGUAGGCCUAACACAUGCAAGUCGAACGGCAGCACAGAGGAGCUUGCUCCUUGGGUGGCGAGUGGCGGACGGGUGAGGAAUACAUCGGAAUCUACUCUGUCGUGGGGGAUAACGUAGGGAAACUUACGCUAAUACCGCAUACGACCUACGGGUGAAAGCAGGGGAUCUUCGGUCCUUGCGCGAUUGAAUGAGCCGAUGUCGGAUUAGCUAGUUGGCGGGGUAAAGGCCCACCAAGGCGACGAUCCGUAGCUGGUCUGAGAGGAUGAGCAGCAACACUGGAACUGGGACACGGUCCAGACUCCUACGGGAGGCAGCAGUGGGGAAUAUUGGACAAUGGGCGCAAGCCUGAUCCAGCCAUACCGCGUGGGUGAAGAAGGCCUUCGGGUUGUAAAGCCCUUUUGUUGGGAAAGAAAUCGAUCUGGUUAAUACCCGGGUGGGAUGACGGUACCCAAAGAAUAAGCACCGGCUAACUUCGUGCCAGCAGCCGCGGUAA